CGCGUAGGCGGUUAGUUAAGUCAGCUGUGAAAGCCCCGGGCUCAACCUGGGAAUUGCAGUUGAUACUGGCCAACUAGAGUGCAGGAGAGGGAGGUAGAAUUCCACGUGUAGCGGUGAAAUGCGUAGAUAUGUGGAGGAAUACCGGUGGCGAAGGCGGCCUCCUGGCCUGACACUGACGCUGAGGUGCGAAAGCGUGGGGAGCAAAACA
rnacentral:rRNA from 1 species